rnacentral:rRNA from 1 species
CCUACGGGCGGCAGCAGUGAGGAAUAUUGGUCAAUGGACGAGAGUCUGAACCAGCCAAGUAGCGUGAAGGAUGACUGCCCUAUGGGUUGUAAACUUCUUUUAUAUGGGAGUAAAAUGUUCCACGUGUGGGAUUUUGUAUGUACCAUAUGAAUAAGGAUCGGCUAACUCCGUGCCAGCAGCCGCGGUAAUACGGAGGAUCCGAGCGUUAUCCGGAUUUAUUGGGUUUAAAGGGAGCGUAGGUGGAUUGUUAAGUCAGUUGUGAAAGUUUGCGGCUCAACCGUAAAAUUGCAGUUGAAACUGGCAGUCUUGAGUACAGUAGAGGUGGGCGGAAUUCGUGGUGUAGCGGUGAAAUGCUUAGAGAUCACGAAGAACUCCGAUUGCGAAGGCAGUUCACUGGACUGCAACUGACACUGAGGCUCGAAAGUGUGGGUAUCAAACAGGAUUAGAUACCCUGGUAGUC